UACGGGGGGGGCAAGCGUUGUUCGGAAUUACUGGGCGUAAAGGGCUCGUAGGUGGCCAACUAAGUCAGACGUGAAAUCCCUCGGCUUAACCGGGGAACUGCGUCUGAUACUGGAUGGCUUGAGGUUGGGAGAGGGAUGCGGAAUUCCAGGUGUAGCGGUGAAAUGCGUAGAUAUCUGGAGGAACACCGGUGGCGAAGGCGGGUCUCUGGGCCGAUACUGACGCUGAGGAGCGAAAGCGUGGGGAGCGAACAGG
rnacentral:rRNA from 1 species